rnacentral:rRNA from 1 species
CCUACGGGAGGCUGCAGUGGGGAAUAUUGGACAAUGGGGGCAACCCUGAUCCAGCCAUGCCGCGUGUGUGAAGAAGGCCCUCGGGUUGUAAAGCACUUUCAGUGAGGAAGAACGCCUGGUGGUUAAUACCCAUCAGGAAAGACAUCACUCACAGAAGAAGCACCGGCUAACUCCGUGCCAGCAGCCGCGGUAAUACGGAGGGUGCGAGCGUUAAUCGGAAUUACUGGGCGUAAAGCGCGCGUAGGUGGCUUGAUAAGCCGGUUGUGAAAGCCCCGGGCUCAACCUGGGAACGGCAUCCGGAACUGUCAAGCUAGAGUGCAGGAGAGGAAGGUAGAAUUCCCGGUGUAGCGGUGAAAUGCGUAGAGAUCGGGAGGAAUACCAGUGGCGAAGGCGGCCUUCUGGACUGACACUGACACUGAGGUGCGAAAGCGUGGGUAGCAAACAGGAAUAGAUACCCCGGUAGUC